CCCUCACGCGAGGACCAGAGAUGGACCUCUUCAGUUCGGGCUGGGUGAGGAGACAGGUGCUGCAUGGCUGUCGUCAGCUCGUGUCGUGAGAUGUUGGGUUAACGUCCGCAACGAGCGCAACCCUCGCCUUUAGUUGCCAUCAUUCAGUUGGGCACUCUAAAGGGACUGCCGGUGAUAAGCCGGAGGAAGGUGGGGAUGACGUCAAGUCCUCAUGGCCCUUACGGGUAGGGCUACACACGUGCUACAAUGGCGGUGACAGAGGGCAGCGACCCCGCGAGGGGAUGCUAAUCCUAAAAAGCCGUCUCAGUUCGGAUUGCACUCUGCAACUCGGGUGCAUGAAGUCGGAAUCGCUAGUAAUCGCUAAUCAGCAGGUAGCGGUGAAUACGUUCCCGGGCCUUGUACACACCGCCCGUCACACCAUGGGAGUUGGUCUUACCUUAAGACGGUGUGCUAACCGCAAGGAGGCAGCCGGCCACGGUAAGGUCAGCGACUGGGGUGAAGUCGUAACAAGGUAAGCGUAGCGAG
rnacentral:rRNA from 1 species